rnacentral:rRNA from 1 species
GACGAACGCUGGCGGCGUGCUUAACACAUGCAAGUCGAACGGAAAGGCCCUGCUUUUGUGGGGUGCUCGAGUGGCGAACGGGUGAGUAACACGUGAGUAACCUGCCCUUGACUUUGGGAUAACUUCAGGAAACUGGGGCUAAUACCGGAUAGGAGCUCCUGCUGCAUGGUGGGGGUUGGAAAGUUUCGGCGGUUGGGGAUGGACUCGCGGCUUAUCAGCUUGUUGGUGGGGUAGUGGCUUACCAAGGCUUUGACGGGUAGCCGGCCUGAGAGGGUGACCGGCCACCUUGGGACUGAGAUACGGCCCAGACUCCUACGGGAGGCAGCAGUGGGGAAUAUUGCACAAUGGGCGGAAGCCUGAUGCAGCAACGCCGCGUGCGGGAUGACGGCCUUCGGGUUGUAAACCGCUUUCGCCUGUGACGAAGCGUAAGUGACGGUAAUGGGUAAAGAAGCACCGGCUAACUACGUG